GUGAAGCCGCGAAUGGCUCAUUACAACAGCCACUGUUUACUUGAUCUUGAUUAUCCUACUUGGAUAACUGUGGUAAUUCUAGAGCUAAUACACGCAAUAAAGCUCCGACCUUACGGGACGAGCGCAUUUAUUAGACCAAAACCAAUCGGGCCUCGGCCUGAACGGUGGUGACUCUGAAUAACUGAGCUGAUCGCAUGGUCUUUGUACCGGCGACGCAUCUUUCAAGUGUCUGCCUUAUCAACUUUCGAUGGUAGUUUAUGUGCCUACCAUGGUUGUUACGGGUAACGGAGAAUAAGGGUUCGACUCCGGAGAGGGAGCCUGAGAAACGGCUACCACAUCCAAGGAAGGCAGCAGGCGCGCAAAUUACCCACUCUCGGCACGAGGAGGUAGUGACGAAAAAUAACGAGGCGGUUCUCUAAGAGGCCCGCUAUCGGAAUGGGUACAAUUUAAA
rnacentral:rRNA from 1 species